rnacentral:lncRNA from 1 species
GAUACAGACCUACACCGAAUUCUUGAUCUUUUCUGUGAUUCUAAGAGCUCAAAUUUGUGUAAAGUCCUAAAGUUCUCCUCUUUCUGUUCUUCAAGUUUUGAGUUGUAAAGAGAGGAGAGAAAGGUCCUGUAAGGGUUGUCUCCUGAGCCCAUCAAAAGGAGUGAAUCUGUAAAAGGGCAGUUGGCCUUCGCCUAUUGAAGGAAGGCCUCUAGUUGACAUCGGUGACCUCGUCGGUGGAGGAAGCCAAAAGUGGAGUAGGUCAAGACUGACCGAACCACUCUAAAUCUCUGGUUUGCGUUUAUUUUGAGCACUUUAUCAUUACUGCAAACCUCCUACAUAGCUACUG